GAUGAAGAACGCAGCGAAAUGCGAUACUUGGUGUGAAUUGCAGAAUCCCGUGAACCAUCGAGUCUUUGAACGCAAGUUGCGCCUCAAGCCAUUAGGUUGAGGGCACGUCUGCCUGGGCGUCACAUAUCGUUGCCUGAUGCCAGUUUCCUCGUGAUGGGUGACUGUGCAGGGCGAAUGAUGGCUUCCCGUGAGCAUUGUUGCCUCAUGGUUGGUUGAAAAUUGAGUCCUUGGUAGGGAGCGCCGUGAUAGAUGGUGGUUGAGUGACGAACGAGACCCAAUCAUGUGAGACCCCUACCGAAUUUGGCCUUCAUGACCCACAUGCGUCUUUGGAACGCUCAUGACGAGACCUCAGGUCAGGCGGGGCUACCCGCUGAGUUUAAGCAUAUCAAUAAGAGGAGGA
rnacentral:misc_RNA from 1 species